GACGAACGCUGGCGGCGUGCCUAAUGCAUGCAAGUCGAACGCGAGCGAGCUUGCUCGGCUGCGUGGCGCACGGCUGAGGGAACACGUCGGGUAUCGAACCUCGGAGUGGGGGAUACCCCAGCGAAAGCCUGGGACAAUCCCGCAUACGGUCCGGCAACGGAGAAAGCCUUCGGGCGCUCGUGGGACGAGCCUGCGGCCCAUCAGGUAGUUGGUAGGGUAACGGCCUACCAAGCCGGUGACGGGUCCCUGGUCUGAGAGGACGACCAGGCAGACUGGGACUGAGACACGGCCCAGACUCCUACGGGAGGCAGCAGCAAGGAAUUUUCCCCAAUGACCGAAAGGCUGAGGGAGCAACGUCGCGUGCAGGACGAC
rnacentral:rRNA from 1 species